GCCAGUGUAGCUCAGGGGUAGAGCAACUGAUUCGUAAUCAGUAGGUCGCGGGUUCAAUUCCCGCCACUGGCU
rnacentral:tRNA from 1 species